GAUGAACGCUAGCGGAAGGCAUAAUACAUGCAAGUCGAACGGAUGUAGCAAUACAUUAGUGGCGCACGGGUGCGUAACGCGUAUGCAACCUACCUUCAUCAGGGGGAUAACUACUCGAAGGGGUGGCUAACACCGCAUAAUACUACUGAAUGGCAUCAUUUGGUAUUUAAAUCUGAGGAGGAUGAAGAUGGGCAUGCGUCUGAUUAGCUAGUUGGUGUGGUAACGGCGCACCAAGGCGACGAUCAGUAGGGGAACUGAGAGGUUGGUCCCCCACACUGGCACUGAGAUACGGGCCAGACUCCUACGGGAGGCAGCAGUAGGGAAUAUUGGUCAAUGGUGGGAACACUGAACCAGCCAUUCCGCGUGCAGGAAGAAGGGUCUCUGACUUGUAAACUGCUUUAGCAAGGGAAGAAAAAGCUCAUGCGUGAGAAAUUGACGGUACCUUGAGAAUAAGCACCGGCUAACUACGUGCCAGCCGCCGCGGUAAGAC
rnacentral:rRNA from 1 species